rnacentral:rRNA from 1 species
UACGUAGGGGGCAAGCGUUGUCCGGAAUCAUUGGGCGUAAAGCGCGUGUAGGCGGCUCGAUAAGUCCGCUCUGAAAGUCCGGGGCUCAACCCCGGGAGGCGGGUGGAUACUGUCGAGCUAGAGUCCGGAAGAGGCGAGUGGAAUUCCUGGUGUAGCGGUGAAAUGCGCAGAUAUCAGGAGGAACACCGGUGGCGAAGGCGGAUCUCUGGGCCUUACCUGACGCUCAGGCGCGAAAGCUAGGGGAGCGAACAGG